rnacentral:rRNA from 1 species
UACGGAGGGUGCAAACGUUGCUCGGAAUCAUUGGGCGUAAAGCGCACGUAGGCGGCGCGUUAAGUCGGGUGUGAAAGCCCUGGGCUCAACCCAGGAAGUGCAUUCGAAACUGGCGCGCUUGAAUAUGGAAGAGGGUCGCGGAAUUCCCGGUGUAGAGGUGAAAUUCGCAGAUAUCAGGAGGAACACCAGCGGCGAAGGCGGCGCUCUGGGCCGGUACUGACACUGAGGAGCGAAAGCGUGGGUAGCAAACAGG